rnacentral:rRNA from 1 species
CUGCUAUCGGAUUGAUACUAAGCCAUGCGAGUCAUUGCAGUAAUGCAAGGCAGACGGCUCAGUAACGCGUAGUCAACCUACCCUAUGGACGGGAAUAACCUCGGGAAACUGAGUAUAAUGCCCGAUAGAACACUAUUCCUGGAAUGGUUUGUGCUCCAAAUGAUUUAUCGCCGUAGGAUGGGACUGCGGCCUAUCAGUUUGUUGGUGAGGUAAUGGCCCACCAAGACUAUUACAGGUACGGGCUCUGAGAGGAGUAGCCCGGAGAUGGGUACUGAGACACGGACCCAGGCCCUAUGGGGCGCAGCAGGCGAGAAAACUUUGCAAUGUGCGAAAGCACGACAAGGUUAAUCCGAGUGGUUUGUGCUAAACGAACCUUUUGACAGUCCUAGGAACACUGUUGAAUAAGGGGUGGGCAAGUUCUGGUGUCAGCCGCCGCGGUAAAACCAGCACCUCAAGUGGUCAGGAUGAUUAUUGGGCCUAAAGCAUCCGUAGCCGGCUCUGUAAGUUUUCGGUUAAAUCUGUACGCUCAACGUACAGGCUGCCGGGAAUACUGCAGAGCUAGGGAGUGGGAGAGGUAGACGGUACUCGGUAGGAAGGGGUAAAAUCCUUUGAUCUAUUGAUGACCACCUGUGGCGAAGGCGGUCUACCAGAACACGUCCGACGGUGAGGGAUGAAAGCUGGGGGAGCAAACCGGAUUAGAUACCCGGGUAGUCCCAGCUGUAAACUAUGCAAACUCAGUGAUGCAUUGGCUUGUGGCCAAUGCAGUGCUGCAGGGAAGCCGUUAAGUUUGCCGCCUGGGAAGUACGUACGCAAGUAUGAAACUUAAAGGAAUUGGCGGGGGAGCACCACAAGGGGUGAAGCCUGCGG